CCUACGGGAGGCAGCAGUGAGGACUAUUGGUCAAUGGACGAGAGUCUGAACCAGCCAAGUAGCGUGAAGGAUGACUGCCCUAUGGGUUGUAAACUUCUUUUAUAUGGGAAUAAAAGGUUCCACGUGUGGGAUUUUGUAUGUACCAUAUGAAUAAGGAUCGGCUAAACCCGUGCCAGCAGCCGCGGUAAUACGGAGGAUCCGAGCGUUAUCCGGAUUUAUUGGGUUUAAAGGGAGAGUAGGUGGAUUGUUAAGUCAGUUGUGAAAUUUUGCGGCUCAACCGUAAAAUUGCAGUUGAAACUGGCAGUCAUGAGUACAGUAGAGGUGGGCGGAAUUCGUGGUGUAGCGGUGAAAUGCUUAGAUAUCACGAAGAACUCCGAUUGCGAAGGCAGCUCACUGUACUGCAACUGACACUGAGGCUCGAAAGUGUGGGUAUCAAACAGGAGUAGAUACCCCAGUAGUC
rnacentral:rRNA from 1 species